rnacentral:rRNA from 1 species
GAUUAACGCUGGCGGCGUGCAUAACACAUGCAAGUCGAACGAAGUGGCGGACGGGUGAGUAACGCGUGAGUAACCUGCCUUAGAGAAGGGGAUAGCCUUUGGAAACGAAGAAUAAUACCCUAUGCUCUAAGAUGGACUUGCGUCUGAUUAGUUAGGUGGUGGGGUAACGGCCCACCAAGACCGCGAUCAGUAGCCGGCUUGAGAGAGUGUACGGCCACAUUGGGACUGAGACACGGCCCAGACUCUAAGGGAGGCAGCAGUGGGGAAUUUUGCACAAUGGGGGAAACCCUGAGGCAGCGACGCCGCGUGAUUUAGAAGGCCUUCGGGUUGUAAACCGCUUUCAGCCAUGACGCGGUAGUGGCAGAAGAAGCACCGGCUAACUACGUGCCAGCAGCCGCGGUAAUAC